rnacentral:rRNA from 1 species
UACGUAGGGUGCGAGCGUGUCCGGAAUUACUGGGCGUAAAGCGCGCGUAGGCGGCUUUGUAAGUUAGAGGUGAAAGCCCGGAGCUCAACUCCGGAACUGCCUUUAAAACUGCAUCGCUUGAAUCCAGGAGAGGUGAGUGGAAUUCCUGGUGUAGCGGUGGAAUGCGCAGAUAUCAGGAGGAACACCAAUAGCGAAGGCAGCUCGCUGGGACGGUACUGACGCUGGAGGCGCGAAAGCGUGGGGAGCGAACAGG